UAAACCAGGAUUAGAUACCCUAUUAUAUUUAAACAAAUUGGGUAGUAUUAUUAAUAAAAACCUUUAUACUUUGGCGGCAUUUUAUCUUAUUAGAGGAAUAUGUUCAUUAAUCGAAACCACACGAUAGUUUUUACUUACUAUAAAAUUUUAUAUACCCCCGUCUAAAGAAUUUAUUUAAAAUUUUUAUUCCAAAUUAUAUUAAAAAAAGUUAGGUAAAGGUGUAGACUAUUAGUAAGAUUAAAUGUAUUACAUUAAAAAAAAAUUUAAGGAUAAAACAGUUAACUGUUUAUUAAAAGAGGAUUUAUAAGUAAUUUACUUUUAUAAAAAUUAAUGAAUAAGAAAAUAAAUGUGCACAUAUCGCCCGUCACUCUCAC
rnacentral:rRNA from 1 species